rnacentral:rRNA from 1 species
GCGUAACGCGUAUGCAAUCUACCUUUUACAGAGGGAUAGCCCAGAGAAAUUUGGAUUAAUACCUCAUAGCAUUGCAGAAUGGCAUCAUUCAGCAAUUAAAGUCACAACGGUAAAAGAUGAGCAUGCGUCCCAUUAGCUAGUUGGUAAGGUAACGGCUUACCAAGGCUACGAUGGGUAGGGGUCCUGAGAGGGAGAUCCCCCACACUGGUACUGAGACACGGACCAGACUCCUACGGGAGGCAGCAGUGAGGAAUAUUGGACAAUGGGCGCAAGCCUGAUCCAGCCAUGCCGCGUGCAGGAUGACGGUCCUAUGGAUUGUAAACUGCUUUUAUACGAGAAGAAACACUACUUCGUGAAGUAGCUUGACGGUAUCGUAAGAAUAAGGAUCGGCUAACUCCGUGCCAGCAGCCGCGGUAAUACGGAGGAUCCAAGCGUUAUCCGGAAUCAUUGGGUUUAAAGGGUCCGUAGGCGGUUUAAUAAGUCAGUGGUGAAAGCCCAUCGCUCAACGGUGGAACGGCCAUUGAUACUGUUAGACUUGAAUUAUUAGGAAGUAACUAGAAUAUGUAGUGUAGCGGUGAAAUGCUUAGAGAUUACAUGGAAUACCAAUUGCGAAGGCAGGUUACUACUAAUUGAUUGACGCUGAUGGACGAAAGCGUGGGUAGCGAACAGGAUUAGAUACCCUGGUAGUCCACGCCGUAAACGAUGGAUACUAGCUGUUGGGAGCAAUCUCAGUGGCUAAGCGAAAGUGAUAAGUAUCCCACCUGGGGAGUACGUUCGCAAGAAUGAAACUCAAAGGAAUUGACGGGGGCCCGCACAAGCGGUGGAGCAUGUGGUUUAAUUCGAUGAUACGCGAGGAACCUUACCAAGGCUUAAAUGUAGUUUGACCGGUUUGGAAACAGACUUUUCGCAAGACAAAUUACAAGGUGCUGCAUGGUUGUCGUCAGCUCGUGCCGUGAGGUGUCAGGUUAAGUCCUAUAACGAGCGCAACCCCUGUUGUUAGUUGCCAGCGAGUCAAGUCGGGAACUCUAACAAGACUGCCAGU